rnacentral:miRNA from 1 species
ACUGGAUUCAUUUCUCUGAAA